UAUUUCAGUUAAGUUACUCACCAUACAGUUUGAACACUUGGUGUUUAUAGGAAGUUAAUACGUGUUUGUAGUUGUUAACUACAGCAAUGCAUAUUAAUUUCAAGUCAGGUAAAAAAAAAGGAGUGUCAAUGGUAAUAUCCACUUCAUACAGAAUAACAUUGAAGUUAGCAACUAUAGGUCACAUUCCCCGUUACAAUUUCAGUUCAUUUGUUAACUACCUUCAUUUAGCUGUUUGGGUAACAUAUAGCCAACGCAUAGUUUUCAUGAUAUGAAAACAACGUACUUGAUAUCAAUUUCUAUCAGUUGCCUUCUUGUUAAAAGGUUCAACAUAUGCAAUUGCAGGAUGUUAUUUCUACAAAUAAAUUUAUCAAUAGUAAUUUCGAAUAUAUUGUAAUCGAAUUUUGAGGGUUGCAGUCACAUGUUGUACUGAGGAAUGUUGUUUGCGAUUCCUAUUAACCUAUGUAUGCAUUGUUUUUUUUUCUAUCGAUUUUCGAAUAGCGGUAUACUACUGUUGCCUUUAUUCAUACAAGUAAUUCAGGCUUUUUUAAUAGUUUAUUUUCUAUGGACAUCACACACCCACUACCUAUCUCAAUAUAUAGUCUAAUGCAAAUCCAAAAGACAUGAAUCAAAUCAACCAAUCAUUUUGGAUUCAUAACCACUGUGUAUAUGUGUCGGUACCCUAAAACGACUUCUUACGUUGAAGAUGCUAUGAAUGUGUUUCGAAUAUGGAAUAUGGGAUUUAUUAUGGUUUGCUGUUUUAGAAAACUAAGAAAUAUUUUCUAACAUUAAAGAAUAAAUUAUAUUCAGAACAAUUAUAUGGUUCUGCAACUCUUGGGAAGUAGACUAUUGCUGAUAAUGUUAAAUCGAUCAGUGUAAAUGGUUCAGAAUGUAAAUGUGUUUAAAUAACUUUUUUAUUUUAAUAUGUCGUAUAGAUCACGUUUGUUAUUACCUUUAUUAAAUAGAAUGUAAAUGUAUAUACCAAGUAAGAAACUGUCAAAUUUGUAUCUUGUUAAUGACUUGGUGUUUUUUGUGUGUUGUGUUUUCCUUAGAUCUAUGUAUGCAUGUUUCUUUAAUUCCAG
rnacentral:lncRNA from 1 species